UUGAGGAGAUGGCUCUUCAUAGGGUGAUGAGACAGUUUGGUCUAUGUCAAGAGCCUGCAAUUCCAGAUAUUCCACGGAUACCAGACCACGUUCACAAGUACAGUCGCGUAGGAGGAAACAAGUCCAUGGCUGUUUGGCUUCAGAGCAUUAGCCCUUACGUUCAAGAAUGGACUACGACACCGACAAAUAUCUGGAAUGAGGUUGGGCCCUUUGACUGGGACAAGUUUGGGUUGUAUUUACAAACUUACCGGCAUACAACGAGGAUCUACUUGGUUCCAUCAGCUGCUCCUGAUCAGAUUGAAGCCCCUCUGACCAGCAAUAUGUACCCAACUACCUCUGUUGUGGGAACGAGACACCACGCGUCCAGGCGCGAGAGGAGGUUUCCGCUUUAAUGCGGCAGGUUGAGAGGGGGGAUACUAUCCCACAGCCAGAGCACCUCUCAUGGUUGAGGCGUAUGGAUGAGAAGUUAAGAGGGAUUUACGCAUCACUUACAUGUAGGCGAUCUACGGAUGUUGUCAUUCCUCGUCCCGCACAUCGGCCCCCACGUCCCUCUGUCCAUCGUUCAGAACCACGGCACUCUGUGCAGCGUUCAGAACCACGACACUCCGUGCAGCAACCACGCCUCUCUGUGCAUCAACCAUCUCCUUCACAACCAGGGAGCUCUUCCUGGAAUCAGCCAUCGCCUUCUCAACCAGGCACCUCUUCCUGGUCUCAUCAAAUGGAACUAGGCAACCAGUCGCGACAGUUCAUGCAUUCAGUGCAAUCACCGAUACUUAGUGGUGCUGGAUGUGGAUUAGAGGGCUAUGGCGAUGACGAUGACCAAGCUGAAAACAUUUAUGACUUCUCGCACACGGUGUUUCACACUCCACCACCACCACCGUCG